GAGUUUCUUCCUCAUAUCUCAUCUAAUUGGCACUCCCACGCAAUAAUCCCGUGCUCCAUCCGGUGGUGACCGGCGACACGAGGAGCGGCUGCCGGCAGAAGAGAGGAGGCCAUCCAUGGCAAGUGUCGGGAGGGAAUGCAGCGGCCGGUGGACGGUGAUCGGAAAGGAUGACAUGGCCAGCGGCGAGAUAUUGUCGGACGGCGUCGCUGCUCUCCAUCACCUCCCCGGAGUAGACGGGGUGGAAAUAGCGGAGGGGACCAGCAGUACCAGAGCUCCUCAGUGGCCGGCGGCCAUGGUGAGGCUCGGCUCCUGCUCCAGUGAAGCGGCUGGCUGCCCCCUCGGCGCUGCUCUGGCCGACGGCGAAUUGGUCGACGGGGAUUGCGAGCAGGAAUUUCCCCCCGGCCGGGCUCUCCCCUGCCGCGUGACCCCCCUGGCAUAAGUUCUUGGUGUUGCGAAUUGUGAUGUCCGGUCUUGGCCACGCUAACUCCUGGUGCUCGCCGGCCGAGCGGCCAGAUUGGAUUGGGGGUUGUGCCUCACCGUCGUGAUUCCCGCAUCCUCUGGCGUAUGCGCGUCUUACCCUCUUCGAAGAAGUCCUGGUCGCUGUGCUAGAGCACUCCGCACGGCGUCACCGGCGAGCUCGCUGUCAUGGAGGAUGCCAUUGGGGCCUCUGCGUCGACUCGGCUACAGGAAAAGCCUUCGUGCACCACUGCAAGCCGUCACCGUCAUGUAGAGGGAGGCAGCGACGGGUGACCUAAGGAGGCCCGGCCUCAUCUUCUUAUUCCUAGAUGCCAUCUCCAUCAGACCUCCCUGGUUCUCUCCGCUGCGGUGGCGGGUCGUGCUGCGCGUGGACGCCGCUGCGGAUGGCUGUGAGUACCCCGGAUGGCCGCAGACGGUUGGGCCAAUCUCACGGACUCCGGCUGCGAGGACCGUGGAUUCGGCGGGUUCAGGGCACGCCGCCAUUCAUGGCGCCCGAGGAGGCGCGCAGUGAGGAGCAGGACCCCCAUCGAGUUUUGGAUUUGACGGCCCACGGUACGACGAGAGGGAGAAUGACUGCCAGCGUCCCCAUCCACCAUCACGGCGGCGCCCCUCCGCCUGCUUCUCCCUCCUAAGCGGCGCAUGGAUUCUUGGUGCCAGGGUGAGGGACGCUCCGAUUGGUAGGGUGAGCAUGCCCACUCUGCAUUUGGAACAGGGAUUUCCGGUGUCUACGAUUCACAGAUUUGAAUCACUGGUGGUGAAAAACAUGGACUUUGCACAUCAUGUCAUUUUUCUCAAGGGAUACUUUUCAAGUUUUAAAUCUUCUCUACUGUCACUUAAGUGCUAUGACUGUUUGGUCAGAGAAAUGAUACAAGUGUUCAGUCAUGAUAUUUAAUUUUCUACGGAAAUAUGUAUGCGUUAUCCAGGCUGCAGCUCGAUGGUAUACAGACUCCACACAUCUGGUCCCUUGUGCUGAAGAACUAGGUAUGCUAUCUCUUUCAGAUUACAAUUAUCUCAUCUGUGGGUAGAAGAAAACUUCGGUUAACUUAGCAGACAAAGCUUGCUUGGAAAGCAACAUUUCUCACCAAUCAGUCCAAUAGUUUAUGGGACUGGUUAUUGGUAAAUUACAUUGGAUAAAACUCCCUUUUAUCAGUGUUGACUGCUUCUCUGUGUUCCAUUCAUUAAGAGCUCUAUACUAUAAUGGCAGAAGUUGUGUUGACCAGAUUAGCCAAAUCAUGCUUGAAUAAAUUUAUAUCCAACAUUGCUAAUCCUUUAUUCAUUUGCUACAGAGUAAUAUAUAUUCAAUGUGGACAUAAUCUACAUAUCAUUGUUUAUCUCUUCAAUCUUCAUUAACAGAAUUUUACCACUUCCACAUAGAUGGGAGGAAGAGUAUUUGAUGGUUCAUCAACCAGAUGGUCUGCUAAGAAUUGUUUAAGCAUUUUAAAGUUGUUUUUUGCUGGCAUGUCAUUUCUAAAAUGAUCGUUUGAUUGAGGUACUUGCAUUCUUAUAAUGUAUUGGGAAUUUUGGAUACAGUGGUGAGGUGUGGGAGGUUGUUUUCUUUCUUGUUAUCUUUUGAAUAACCGAUGAAAUGAAUAAUAGCUUAAUGUUGCACAUUCUUAAGGGUCAGGAUUAGUUUCAUGUGUACAAAAUAGUAGGAGGUGGUAUCUUCUAUCUCCAUUUUCAGACAAGUUUUAGGUUGGAACAUGUUGGUAUUAUCUUGGAAAAUGGAACGCAACCCAAUCAUCGAAGUGUUCCCUGGUAGAGUCAAAACAAAAAUUAUCUGACUUAUUCCCUACGCCAUGGUUAGUUAUACACUUAGAAUUUCUAAUCUGGACAUCACAUUGUACAGAAGUACUAUUAGUGUGAUUCGGUUUUUCCUAAAAAUAGUUCGCCAAGCAGGAAAACCUCCGGUCAUUUUGAACGAGAAGCUAAUAUGAUUACCACGUAGUGUCUUAGCAUACUAUUCUUUAGAGAAAUAUAUAGUAGAUAUGAAAUUAUUUAAAUAAGCAUCAAAUCAAGAUUAUUAUGUUCUGUAUAUGUCCUAGGAAUUUAUCUUUCUAAUUUACUAUUUUUCCUAUACAAGUUGCUUUGUUUUAAGGAAUCCAUUUUUCUGGUUUAUGUUUAUUCCAAAUGAACUCAAAUCAUUUGGAACUGAACUCGCAAGGUCGCGCUGGUUCAUGAAAUGUGCUCAUAUAGAGGACAUGGACAUACCUCUGUCAAAUAAGGUGAUAGAACCUGAACUUUUGACUACUCAAUCAUUUUUUUUUGCUGCUCUAAUUUUCUGUCUACGGAGACCAAGGUUUGCAUAGGUAAUUAGUCUCUUGAACCAACAUAUUUUUCUUUGAGCUAGAGUAAUAACUAGGAGUAACUCACAAGAGUGACUUAAUUUUCCUGUUAGGUACAGCCUGAUAAAUAUGUGAUACUGAUUUAUUUCAUAGCCUGACUGUAGCUUUGUAGUUUGCCUAAGGUUAAUUGUUGUAAAAUUGAGUCAAGCGGUUGGGUGGCGUGUCAAGAAUGUCCUAUCUUCUCUUUCUUCGGUAAGGAAAAAAUUUUGUCCAGGAGAUCUCCCCAUACAUGGGUUUGUGAGAAGGUAAUCAGUUGAGGAGCUGUCAGUUUGGUUCAUCUUGCAAGACAAUCACUCUUUCGCUUAUCCAUAUGGUACUCUCUGAUUCUUUAUUUUCUUGAUAAUAUGCUUGCUCUUGAAGGUGGAGUAAUUCUUUUAUUGGAAGACAUGUAUGGUGGCUCCUGAAUAUUAUUUUGGGGUUCAUUUCUACAGUCUAAAUGAUUGUCACAUUGUUUGCGUAAAGUAUUCUCCAAAAAGGUGUAUUAGGCAAGAAUAUAAAUGCAAUCAUGCAUACUCUUUAUGAUUCCUUUGUCUUUGAACUAAUUUUAUUUUAUUUAUGUUUUUCAAUUCAAAUGUUUGAGAAGUUGUUCCCAGUAUUCAAUAGCAUUUUCUUCUAUUAUUGAUGUUUCAAGUUCUAUAUAAUAGUGUUUGUAUAUUAGGCAGAUAGAUUGUUCUCUGUUAAGGAACUAGCCUGUAGAUCUUCUCACUCCUUAUUCUUCCUAAGAUUAGAGUUUAAGUUUCCCUAUGUAAAUGUCAAAUUGCAGAUAGAUUAUAAGUUUUCAGAUUAUUUAUUUUCCCCCAGUACUAUACAUGUACUGUCUCUGCUUGAUAUGAAGGCCACUUUUCUUCUACCAUCAAUAGUUGUACCACUACUAAAAGAAAUGCAUCCACUUAUUUUUUGUUGUUGAAAAUAAAAAUGGUUGUUAGAAUCCACCAACGGAAGUUGAGCUCUACCGUUGGAUAGCACUAUUACUAUAUUCUUGACACUUCUUUGCAUCUGUCAAUUUAGUUAUCACUGAAUCUGUAAGAUACUUAUUGGCAUCUGUUGUUAUCGUCGAAUUUUUCAUAGGUUUUUCCCCAACAUUGCAUUGCUCCAUUAUUAUUUUUACCACCUGCCCCUCGAGACUAUGGACUGUGCCGGACAAGCCUUAUAAACAUCAAAUCACUCUAACAAAGAGUAAUUGCUUGUGUGGUUCUAACUUUGUUCAAAUCAUUUUUAAUUUCAGGUUUUACAAGUUGUAGCGGCGCAGGAUGAGGACAAGUUAAGCUAGAAGAAACACCGGCCAUGGACUAGAGAAAAGAAGCAAGGGCACAUUAAGAGCUCCAUUGAGGUGAAAGCUGGCCAUAGUAUAUCAUUAACUGUAGUGACACUACUAAGACCCUUAAGUAUAUUAAUCAUGUCUCAGCCUACUUUGUUCA